UUGACACAGUGGUGCUCUGCCUAUUGAACGCUGUCCUGGUAACAAUUUGCUUCUCUCUCCAAGUGAUUCGGCAGAAUUUGCAACAUAAAACGGCAUAUGCUGCUUGCAAGAGGAUCUCCACAGUUAAACAAAGUACCAGACGAUAGCAGCGAGGACAGUGGCAGGAAGUCAUGAUAAAAGUACACGUAGAAUACUGCCAGCUUUGAGAUCACUGUGAGUGACCAGUUGAUAUUCUCCAAGUUGGAAACAAAAGGCUUUCCUUAUGCUGAAGAUAUCCUUGAUGCGGUUCAGAAAGCCAGCCGUGGAGAAAUCGUCUCUAAAAUCACUAAGAAGCAGAACUGUGUUGUGAUGUAGGAUGGUUGCUUCCUGAAAGUUAGAAAUAAUUCCUACAUUUUAAUCUGGGACGCGGUUCUUAGGAUGACUGUUUGCAUUUAAACCUGCAAUGCGAACACGAAAAGAAACAAGAACCCCAUUCUCUAGGCAUUUAUAAUUCAGGAAUGCAUUUCUUGAGCUUUCUGUCAGGUAGAGUAAUUCAGCAAGGUAACUGAGUAAAAAAAAAAAAAAAAACCUGAAUAAAUAUCUCUACAGCAGACUGCAAAUACUUAAAGUGAACUCAUUCACUGGAUGUUGGAGGAGGAGAUUUUAAUGUUCAGUGAUAGCUGUCAUUGCUCUGUAAUUUGUGUUUCUACUUUGCUGACUGGCUACCUAAAUAUUAUAAUUGUGUGUAUUUUUUUUCCUAUUGGAUGGUAAAGAUGUAGCAGAAGGUAACUAUUGUAAAUAAUGUUGCUUAUGAACAGACCUAUUUUCUGUUGAAUUCAAAUUCAGUUUAUUUGAAGUAAACAUUCCCUGCUCAUAACAAAAGCACACCAAGUUCAGGGUUUUAUAUAUAAUUAUAUAUAUACACAAC